rfam:Camelus ferus unplaced genomic scaffold scaffold1133, whole genome shotgun sequence.
GAGGGUAUAGCUCAAGCGGUAGAGCACACGCUUAGCAUGCAUGAGGUCCUGGGUUCAAUCCCCAGUACCUCCU